ACUUAGCGUGAAACAACAACAAGCCUCCGGAGACGAUCUCUUAAUCUCUUCCCGGUGAGGUGGGAACCCAUCUUCAGGGUCGGAUUUAAAAGAACAAUGGAAUGUCUCACUUCGCUUAAACCAUAAUAAAACUUGUCCUUUUCCCCCAUCUCCCUGUUGGGUGUUGGCUUUUAACUCUUUCCAAGCUGUUUUUGAGAAGGACUGUUUUCUAGAUGCAAAGGUAUCUUACUGCUCGUUAAACGUCUGUGACGUUUGUUGUCUUUUAGAAAAGGCAAGUUACAGGAGUGCUUCUUGUAUUUCAAACAUGACGACGGCAACAAGGCAGUUUAAUGGAAGUAGAUUUGGUAAUUUCGGUACUAGGUGAUGACGUUUGAUGAAUGCAUCUUAUUUUUACCGAGUGCUUUUGCCAAGACCAUUUGGCAUCCUGAUAUUUGAGCCGAACUAAACUGUUGGGUACUUUUUUUAAGUGAGUGGAAAGAGUCCUAAUGGGUAAUUUCUCACACCUGAGUGUUAAAACGUUCUUGAGUCAGUUGCUACCCUUUAAAAGUUAAAAUUCAUCUUGUUAUUUAAAAAGACAGAAUUAUAUAGUAUUUCAAAUAGUAAUCGAAAAAGUUUUAUAAAGAAAUAUUUUAAUAGAACAGUUGUUCCGGAAGUUACUUUCCAUAGUGUAAAUAGUGAAGUAGGACUGCCCGUGAUGGGCGAUGAAGAGGGGCCAUAUUUGUUGCAUUUGUUGCAAGUAUAAAGUCGAGAUGUGCUUAAAAACGGAACGGGAUUAAAAAAACAGUCCAACGAAAACCGCAGUUUUCUGCAUACUCAUUUAAAAAUACUUGAGGUAAUUUACCAGAUUAUAAUUAGUGUGGUUGCUGAUGAUUCUGAAUAAAUACAACUUUUUUCCCCCAGAAGGUGUGCCAUUUUGAAGAUGGAGACAAUAAAGAUUUAUCUUUAAAAAUAAAGGAGAGUCCCUGGGAAAUUCUGUAUUUUAUAUCUCAAGAAUGUGGAUCCCCAGAUGGAGUGAAAUAACCAAUACCACAGACAUUGUUGAAGCAUUUACAUCCAGUCAGCUUGAAGAGUUUGAAAUGGACUACUGAGAAAUCAAGAUGGCAUCCCACUAUGGGGAAUUGAGGAAAAUGGAUUAAAGCCUGAAUGCUGUGAUGUUAUACAACCGACACAGGGUUCUUUUUAUGUGGAUUCCAUGAAAUGAACGAUUCUUACCCAACACAAAUGGACAGUGGGAUUUCCUUUCUAAGGACUUCUUACAUAUUAUGUGCAUUUUAACAUCUGGAGAUGUUACAUUUAUUCAAAUACUAGUUUGUAUUCCUGGAAUUUCUUACAAUUUUGAUCUGACUGAUCUUAUGGAAUGUUAACUUCAAUAAAAUCUCUAAAACUU